CAUGUUCUUUUUGAGUAUAAUUUAAGAUUUGACCUGCCCGCUGAUUGGAUUGAAUGGCCGCGGUAUUUUGACCGUGCAAAGGUAGCAUAAUCAUUAGUUUUUUAAUUGAAAGCUGGUAUGAAUGGUUGGACGAGAAAAUUUCUGUCUCUGGCUAAAUUUUAUAGAAUUUAAUUUUUAAGUUAAAAAGCUUAAAUAAUCUUAAAAGACGAGAAGACCCUAUAGAGUUUUAUAUUAAAAUAAUUUUAUUUUCAAAAGGAUUUAAUUUAUAAAUUUAUUUUAUUAUUUUAUUGGGGUGAUAGGAAGAUAAAUUUAACUCUUUCUUUUUUAAAACAUAAAUUUAUGGUUAAUUGAUCCAAUUAUUUUGAUUACAAGAAUAAAUUACCUUAGGGAUAACAGCGUAAUCUUUUUAGAGAGUUCUUAUCGAAAUGAAGGAUUGCGACCUCGAUGUUGGAUUAAAAUUAAUUUUUGGUGCAGAAGCUGGAAUAUUAAGUCUGUUCGACUUUUAAAAUUUUACAUGAUCUGAGU
rnacentral:rRNA from 1 species